rnacentral:rRNA from 1 species
UGGGGAAUAUUGCACAAUGGGCGCAAGCCUGAUGCAGCCAUGCCGCGUGUAUGAAGAAGGCCUUCGGGUUGUAAAGUACUUUCAGCGAGGAGGAAGACGAUGCGGUUAAUAACCGUGUCGAUUGACGUUACUCGCAGAAGAAGCACCGGCUAACUCCGUGCCAGCAGCCGCGGUAAUACGGAGGGUGCAAGCGUUAAUCGGAAUUACUGGGCGUAAAGCGCACGCAGGCGGUCUGUCAAGUCGGAUGUGAAAUCCCCGGGCUCAACCUGGGAACUGCAUUCGAAACUGGCAGGCUUGAGUCUUGUAGAGGGGGGUAGAAUUCCAGGUGUAGCGGUGAAAUGCGUAGAGAUCUGGAGGAAUACCGGUGGCGAAGGCGGCCCCCUGGACAAAGACUGACGCUCAGGUGCGAAAGCGUGGGGAGCAAACA